rnacentral:rRNA from 1 species
AACGAACGCUGGCGGCAUGCCUAACACAUGCAAGUCGAACGAGACCUUCGGGUCUAGUGGCGCACGGGUGCGUAACGCGUGGGAACCUGCCCUUAGGUUCGGAAUAACUCCCCGACAGGGGUGCUAAUACCGGAUAAUGUCCUCGGACCCAAGAUUUAUCGCCUUUGGAUGGGCCCGCGUUGGAUUAGCUAGUUGGUAGGGUAAAAGCCUACCAAGGCGACGAUCCAUAGCUGGUCUGAGAGGAUGAUCAGCCACACUGGGACUGAGACACGGCCCAGACUCCUACGGGAGGCAGCAGUGGGGAAUAUUGGACAAUGGGGGAAAGCCUGAUCCAGUAAUGCCGGGUGAGUGAUGAAGGCCUGAGGGUUGUAAAGCUCUUUUACCCGGGAUGAUAAUGACAGUACCGGGAGAAUAAGCUCCGGCUAACUCCGUG